GACGAACCGUCCAAACGUUAUUCGGAAUCACUGGGCUUACAGAGUUCGUAGGCGGUCUGGAAAGUUGGGUGUGAAAUCCCUCGGCCCAACCGAGGAACUGCGCUUGAAACUACCAGACUCGAGGGAGAUAGAGGAAAGCGGAACUGAUGGUGGAGCGGUGAAAUGCGUUGAUAUCAUCAGGAACACCGGUGGCGAAGGCGGCUUUCUGGGUCUUACCUGACGCUGAGGAACGAAAGCCAGGGGAGCGAACGGG
rnacentral:rRNA from 1 species